rfam:Aedes albopictus isolate Foshan contig12365, whole genome shotgun sequence.
UGCCCAGCAACUUCUAUCUCUACCUCCGCGUGGUACCGGCUGGAAACUAUGAGCAACCUUAAGGAAGA